UACGUAGGGUGCGAGCGUUAAUCGGAAUUGCUGGGCGGAAAGCGUGCGCAGGCGGUUCGUUGUGUCGGCGGUGAAAGCCCCGGGCUUAACCUGGGAACUGCAUUUGUGACUGCAUCGCUGGAGUGCGGCAGAGGGGGAUGGAAUUCCGAGUGUAGAGGUGAAAUUUGUAGAUAUUCGGAGGAACACCAGAAGCGAAGGCGGCCAACUGGCCCGAUACUGACGCUGAGGCGCGAAAGCGUGGGGAGCAAACAGG
rnacentral:rRNA from 1 species